GGGAGCGGGGCAAGAGAACAAGAGCCGGGCUCCUGGGUGCAGGACCCUGGGGAGGGCAGACGAGGCGCUUCCACUUGCAGCGCCCCUACCCCCAGAGCCGCCGCUGCCUUGGCUUCACACUGGCAACAGGCGCGCCGAGAAAUUUAACCCUCUCGGCGCUGCAGCCCCGGCCUGCACUCCUUGCUCUGCCCCCUCCGCGCUCUGUGGGGGGCGGCCGAUUGGCCUUUGGCUGCAACUCGCACCCGCAGGCUGGACGGGGCCCAGCCCGGCCCCAGCACAAAGCGGGGUUUGUUGCUCUGAACGGCUUGUGCCGGCUCCUGCUAAUUUCUUUCAAGUGGCGCUGGACAGCCAGCCCUUGCCGAGCCAAGUUGGAAAGCAGGGAAGCGCUUGGAACUAAAAUUACUGCAAAACAUGGACACCAGCAAACACCUCUUCAGGUUGCUGAGUUCACUGAAGUUUGGCCCAUCGUGGGAUCAUAAUGAAGACGAAAAAAAAUGGUAAAACUGGUGAAUUCAGACCACUGAGCUACUGAGAAAUUCAAACUGUUCCCACCUUGCGAAAGAACCAUUGGAAACUACAGCAAAGCCUUAAGCACCUUCUUCAAAUGGACAUCUGAAAGUUCUGCUCUGCAAGCCAUUUUGGAUAAGGAUCUAAGAUAGUAGGAAGCUGGAUGGGGAAGAAGGAGAAAUGUUAGCAGCAGCAGAAUGCUGACAAGAAGGAACUACUUGGGAAACAAGAUGCAAAAUGGCCUUUCCAGAAGAGAGAGACUUGGAGAACUGGCUUUAAUAUUUUGUGAGCUCCCAAAUGAAUGUACUCUUAUGAAUUCCCUAAAGUCAGCUCACUUCCAUUGCCCACUGGGUCAAGUCUUUCGGAUGAACAAGAAUGAAUACUAACAACACGUGCACCAAAUUCAUACCUUGAUAUGUCAUUGGUGUCUUCAAAAGGCUUGUGAGUGUCACGAGGAACUUUAGAGGCAUCCAGGAGAUCCUCCUCCUGAUUUAUAUAUGCUGGUAUGCAUCUCUAAGAUAAUGCAACCCUAAGAUAAUUUUAAUUGCUUUUGUCACACGUGCUCAGAACGCCAAGUCCAGUUCGUCAGGUUCAUGUUAUUUGGCUGCACUUACAGUGGGUACAUAGACAUUUGCAACUUUUUAAGAAUAGUUCCCAUUCACUCAGGGUAAGGACAGUCAGUCAUUUGUGACUUGAUAGCGACGAGGACCAAUUUGAAUGGCAGGAAUACCUGAGUUUUAAAAAAUAUAUAUAUAUUGAGUCCGUCAGUGUGCUUGGCACUGUGAAAACGUGGAAGAACUCACGGUCCCGCUCUCUAGCAGCUUACAGUCGAAGGCCCCAGGGCUGCCCAGAACUCUAUGUAAGUGGAUCUCUACACCUGUACUGGAAACAUUGCAGAAUAGGCACCCUUGCACCAUAUUUACAUAGUUAUUUAGGUGCUGAAAAAUGCCAAUAGGUGCCUUUGGGAUUUUACAAAAGUAUGUGAGUAGGUUAUGUGCCUAAAUAUCUUUGAGGAGAUGGGCCCUGUUCCUGUGCUCAAUGGGUGUUAGGUGCCUACCCUCUUAUGGGUACCCUCUUUGUGAAUCCCACCUCCCUCUUUAUGUGCCUACAUACCUUUGUAAAUCUGGGCCCUAGUUCUGACACACAGUUCUGUUCAGAUACAAACUCUCUGGAUGAUGUUUCCAAUGUGCAGCACAGCAGAUCUUGGGGAGCGAGCAGUGCUGAAAGCAAGGCUUUGUGGAAGAAGUAUGUGUUUGAAGAGGAAAUUGAAAGACAAAUUGGCAUGGGAGACAUUUGUAAAUGUAAGGGACAUGAGAAAGGAAGAAGAUGAAAAUGCAAAGAUAGAAGGGAGUGAUUGAGGGCUAUUACAGAAGAAAAGUUAUGGUAGCCGAUGUGGGAUUUUCUCUUUAUUUUUGAAAUGUAGGUGACUAUUUCCCCUCCUUCUAAUCAUUAUUGUAAUCUCUUUCUAAGAGUGAAAAGUACCCAGGAUAAUAUUUCAAUAUGUUCUGCAGUUUUCCAGUAGUUUCCUGUACCGGGAUGGUCACCCGCUCCUGCCCUGAAAGGGCUUGAAGCCAGCCCUGGGAGAGGGCUGGGGCUGUGAGCUAAAGGCUCGCUGAUUGGGGAAGCAACCGCAGCUGGGCUAUGCCCCAAUCAGACUGCAGCUGGCCCUAUAAAAGCCAGUGAAGCCAGGAGCUGAGAGGAGUCUUUCUCUGGCUGCUUGGGAGCAGAGCAAAGUACCUAGAGUGGAGCAGGGCUGGGGGAAAGGCUAGAGGAGCCGGGGGAGCUCCAGUCUGGAAAACCCCCAGGCUGCAGGCCUUUGAUGAAAGGACAG